rnacentral:rRNA from 1 species
CAGCAGCCGCGGGAAUACGAAGGGGGCUAGCGUUGUUCGGGAUUACUGGGCGUAAAGCGCACGUAGGCGGAUAUUUAAGUCAGGCGUGAAAUUCCUGGGCUCAACCUGGGGGCUGCGCUUGAUACUUGGUUGCUUGAGUGGGGAAGAGGGUCGUGGAAUUCCCAGUGUAGAGGUGAAAUUCGUAGAUAUUGGGAAGAACACCGGUGGCGAAGGCGGCGACCUGGUCCUUGACUGACGCUGAGGCGCGAAAGCGUGGGGAGCAAACAGGAUUAGAUACCCGGGUAGUCCCUGUCUCUUAUAC